AGCACGGGAGCAAUCCUCGGUGGCGAGUGGCGAACGGGUGAGUAAUGUAUCGGAACGUGCCCAGUCGUGGGGGAUAACGUAGCGAAAGCUACGCUAAUACCGCAUACGAUCUAUGGAUGAAAGCGGGGGACCGCAAGGCCUCGCGCGAUUGGAGCGGCCGAUAUCAGAUUAGGUAGUUGGUGGGGUAAAGGCUCACCAAGGCGACGAUCAGUAGCUGGUCUGAGAGGACGACCAGCCACACUGGAACUGAGACACGGUCCAGACUCCUACGGGAGGCAGCAGUGGGGAAUUUUGGACAAUGGGCGCAAGCCUGAUCCAGCAAUGCCGCGUGAGUGAAGAAGACCUUCGGGUUGUAAAGCUCUUUUGUCAGGGAAGAAACGGCUGUGGCUAAUAUCCACGGCUAAUGACGGUACCCUGAAGAAUAAGCACCGGCUAACUACGUGCCAGCAGCCGCGGUAAUACGUAGGGUGCAAGCGUUAAUCGGAAUUACUGGGCGUAAAGCGUGCGCAGGCGGUUUUGUAAGUCUGACGUGAAAUCCCCGGGCUUAACCUGGGAAUUGCGUUGGAGACUGCAAGGCUAGAAUCUGGCAGAGGGGGGUAGAAUUCCACGUGUAGCAGUGAAAUGCGUAGAGAUGUGGAGGAACACCGAUGGCGAAGGCAGCCCCCUGGGUCAAGAUUGACGCUCAUGCACGAAAGCGUGGGGAGCAAACAGGAUUAGAUACCCUGGUAGUCCACGCCCUAAACGAUGUCUACUAGUUGUCGGGUCUUAAUUGACUUGGUAACGCAGCUAACGCGUGAAGUAGACCGCCUGGGGAGUAC
rnacentral:rRNA from 1 species